AAACAGAGAUGCGGUGGGUUUGGACCUCAGGGAAACGUCACUGGGCAGCCAAUCUGAAGCUGGGAAAAUGUUUACAUCUUUCGCCAGAGAGAAGACAAUCCCUGAUGAUUGACGUUAGCAUUAUCCAGUAAAUUGCCCUCUCCACCCUACUCUCAUCGCAACCUCCUACUUCUCCCCACUACCCGAGGCCUGGCAGGGGCCGUAGACACUACACGUCAGUUCACCCUCAGAUAUGGUGAGUCCACUGCUUGAGUAAUUACUGUUGGGAACCAAUACCCAAACUAAAGGACCCGGAUAAAUAGGGAGAGACAAGACAGGCAGUCCUAAACAGAAGGCACCAUCGCUUGAAGAACAUUUCUCUCAAAAGAAGCCUCAGCAAAAAUAUAAAAUUUGGGAAAAGUGUGUAGAGAAGACCAAGUUGCAGCCUUGCAAAUUUGUUCCAAAGAAGCUUCAUUUUUGAAAGCCCAAGAAGAGGAAACAGCUCUUGUGGAAUGAGCCGUAAUUCUCUCAAGAGGCUGCUGUCCAGCAAUCUCAUAAGCCAAACAAAUUAUAUUUUGUAACCAAAAAGAGAGUAGUAGCAUUAGCUUUCUGACCUUUGUGUUUCCUAGAGAAACAGACAAAGAGGGCAGAGGACUGGCGAAAAUCCUUAGUCGCCUGUAAGUAGAAUUUAAGAGCACGUACAACAUCCAAAUUGUGUAACAAACGUUCUUUGGAAGUAGGAGGAUUAGGACACAGAGAGGGAACAACAAUUUCCCGAUUGAUAUUUCUAUUAGAAACAACCUUAGGAA